AACUUACGUUGCCUGUAAUAAAAAUAGUGAAAGAAUCCAUAGGCAGUUAUCGAAGGAAAAACAAGUUUGUCGCAAGCAUAGCAUGAGUGUUGAAAUACAAGAAUUUAAGACAGGCUAAAGAGUGUAGAGAUGAAAAUUCCGAACAUUGAUAUUUCGUGUAAGAAGAGGAAAAAAUGGUUAAGGAAAGUGAAUAUUGUCUUAUUACAAUAAUUGAAAUGCUUUAGAUUAGGAUAAAAAUCACAUUUUAUUACAAAAAAUAGUAUAGUUUAUAGAGAGUCAGGUGGGGUGAUAACAGAUACUUACGAAAAGACAGUCAGUCGUAAUAGGAUAAGAAAAAAAGACACGAUCGUUAACAGUUCAGGCCUUAAAGGAUAUCCUACGAAAUUUUCAUGUUAAAACAUACAUCGAAAGUAGGUACGUACACACGUAUAAUUAAGGGAGAGUAUAAAAGUAGGGCAUAACAGUAAAAGUACAAGAACUAUAAGAAUAACAGUAUCAAGAGUAAAUUGUACGAGUUAUAGCAAUAGUAAAGCAUGCAGACGUAGUAAGGGUACGUUUAGUAUACGAUAAUCACAGCAUUGGGUUUUUCGUAGUAUCUUUUUUAUCUACACGCAUGUUAUUUUUUUUUUUUUCUUCAUUCUAUUAAGAAUUGUAUAGAACUUAGUGAAAGAAAAGAUCAGUCGAAAAUGCGGAGAAAAAAUAACGACUCAAAGUUCAGGCGAAGUAAAGAGUAGAGAUAAUAAAAAGAGUUGCAGAAUCUGAGAAAGAAAAAGGACGUGGCAAAUAACAGAAGGAAGAGCACGCGUCUG